UACGAAGGGGGCUAGCGUUGUUCGGAUUUACUGGGCGUAAAGCGCGCGUAGGCGGAUCGUUAAGUCAGGGGUGAAAUCCUGGGGCUCAACCCCAGAACUGCCUUUGAUACUGGCGAUCUCGAGUCCGGAAGAGGUGAGUGGAACUCCUAGUGUAGAGGUGGAAUUCGUAGAUAUUAGGAAGAACACCAGUGGCGAAGGCGGCUCACUGGUCCGGUACUGACGCUGAGGUGCGAAAGCGUGGGGAGCAAACAGG
rnacentral:rRNA from 1 species